rnacentral:rRNA from 1 species
UUAUUAAGCCAUGCAUGUCUAAGUAUAAAUAGUAUACAGUGAAACUGCGAAUGGCUCAUUAAAACAGUUAUAGUUUAUUUGAUAAUUGACAAUUACAUGGAUAACCGUGGUAAUUCUAGAGCUAAUACAUGCUUAAACGCCCGACUUUAUGGAAGGGUGGUAUUUAUUAGACUGAAGCCAAUAUUCCUUGUGUCUAUUGCGGUGAUUCAUAAUAACUGAUCGAAUCUCUUUUUGAGAUAAAUCAUUCAAGUUUCUGCCCUAUCAGCUUUCGAUGGUAGUGUAUUGGACUACCAUGGCAGUAACGGGUAACGAAGAAUUAGGGUUCGAUUUCGGAGAGGGAGCAUGAGAAACGGCUACCACAUCUAAGGAAGGCAGCAGGCGCGUAAAUUACCCAAUCCUGACUCAGGGAGGUAGUGACAAGAAAUAGCAAACCGGGAACCUCAUGGUUUCACGGUAUUGCAAUGAGAACAAUUUAAAACCCUUAGCGAGAAUCAAGUGGAGGACAAGUCUGGUGCCAGCACCCGCGGUAAUUCCAGCUCCACUAGCGUAUAUUAAAGUUGUUGCAGUUAAAAGGCUCGUAGUUGAACCUCUGUCUGGGGCUAGUUUUGGCUUUGGUCAGGCUAGUUCUAGGCAUCCGCCUACAAGACUUAGAGGGCAUUCAGUUGUUCACUAGGAGGAGUAGGCAUUUUACUUUGAAAAAAUUAGAGUGUUUAAGGCAGGCAAUCGCCCGCAUAUAUUAGCAUGGAAUAAUAGAAUAGGACACUUUUCCAUUUCGUUGGUUAUUGGAAUCGUGUAAUGAUUAAUAGGGACAGUUGUGGGCAUUUGUAUUUAAUUGUCAGAGGUGAAAUUCUUGGAUUUAUUAAAGACAAACUAACGCGAAAGCAUUUGCCAAGGAUGUUUUCAUUAAUCAAGAACGAAAGUUAGGGGAUCAUAGACGAUCAGAUACCGUCCUAGUCUUAACUAUAAACUAUUCCGACUCAAUGUUUGACUGGCUUAUAUAACCAGUUGAGCGUUGUAUGAGAAAUCAAAGUCUUUAGGUUCUGGGGGGAGUAUGGUUGCAAAGCUGAAACUUAAAGGAAUUGACGGAAGAGCACAACCAGGAGUGGAUUCUGCGGCUUAAUUUGACUCAACACGGGGAAACUUACCAGGUUAAAACAAUAGUGGGAUUGACAGUUUGAGAGCGCUUUCUUGAUUGGUUGGGUGGUGGUGCAUGGCCGUUCUUAGUUGGUGGAGUGAUUUGUCUGCUUAAUUGCGUUAACGAACGAGACCUUAACCUGCUUACUAGAC